UUUAAAACUUUUGUUCUGUAGUCAAAAAAGGCUUUCCUUCAAUUACGAUCAAAAAAUCUGGAAACAGAGACAAAUAAGGAGUUAGCGGAUGAGUUGUCAAAAUUUUAUCGGGAUUUCUUGGAUGGCAAUUACAAUGUGCAUUCUCAAUAUCUCAGAGAUUGGUACAGGAGAAAUUUCCAUUUAUUAUGGACAGGGAUACAGGUGUCAGUGUUCAGGAUACUCAGCAAAAUCAUGCCAAAGAAGUCAAGAUAAUUGCUGGGCAUUCGAAAGUCAACGUAAAAGUAAUAGGAUUGUGUGAUUUCUGGUGACUAUCAGAUGGAUGAAAAACACAUUGUUGUAAAUAGCACAAAGGCACGGCAUCGAAAAAAUUUUGAAAUGUAUGCAGAAGAGCACUUUAUCUUAGUAUUGGAACGAUAAAGACCAGGAAAGAAAAACCAAUUUAUUUUGGGAUCAUUAGAAUUGGGGCAGCAUGCCAUGGCAGGAACAUUUUGUUUUAAGUAUUCUUUUACAAAUAUUGUGAAGUGAGUGAUAGUGUUCUUGAGCAGAGUAUUGAUGAACUUGGUCCAGUGUUCUGAGAUUUGAAUGUGCUGGCAUAUGAUUAUCUCCUUAUAAAUUGGAGAGAUUUCAAUGUAAUAAUUUGUGUUUAAAACGUUUGAGUGUCUGCCAAUUUGGCUUGCAUUAUAUCAUUCUUGGCACAUGAAAUUGUCUGUUGUCUUAGAUCACUUUCCUUCCAUGGGGAACAUUUUUAACUCGUGUGAACGAGUUUUUUAUAGCGAUUCCGAUAUGCAAAUGGUUCACCACUCGCUCAGAGUAGACACUGUUUUAAAUAAGUCGUUCUGAACUCGCCCGCGCACUUCCCGAGCACGAAACCAUACUGGAGUUGUAACCGCGCAU